UACGGAGGAUGCGAGCGUUAUCCGGAUUUAUUGGGUUUAAAGGGUGCGUAGGCGGACUGUCAAGUCAGCGGUAAAAUACGGGGGCUCAACCUCCGCCCGCCGUUGAAACUGACGGUCUUGAGAUGUCGAGAGGUAUGCGGAAUGCGCAGUGUAGCGGUGAAAUGCUUAGAUAUUGCGCAGAACUCCGAUUGCGAAGGCAGCAUACCGGUGCACAACUGACGCUCAGGCACGAAAGCGUGGGUAUCGAACAGG
rnacentral:rRNA from 1 species